UACGUAGGUGGCAAGCGUUAUCCGGAAUUAUUGGGUGUAAAGGGUGCGUAGGCGGGAUAUAAAGUCAGACGUGAAAUACCGUGGCUUAACCACGGGGCUGCAUUUGAAACUUAUGUUCUUGAGUUAAGUAGAGGCAAGUGGAAUUCCCAGUGUAGCGGUGAAAUGCGUAGAUAUUGGGAGGAACACCAGUGGCGAAGGCGAUUUGCUGGGCUUAUACUGACGCUGAGGCACGAAAGUGUGGGGAGCAAACAGG
rnacentral:rRNA from 1 species